rnacentral:rRNA from 3 species
UGAGUCUCCUGAAGGGACGUUGAAGACGACGACGUUGAUAGGCCGGGUGUGUAAGCGCAGCGAUGCGUUGAGCUAACCGGUACUAAUGACCCGUGAGGCUUAACCUUACAACGCCACAGGCGUUUUG